AAAGGUAUCACAUGCCAAGUUUG
rnacentral:siRNA from 1 species